CACCUUGGGACACAGCAGGACGAAAUACGAGAUGAGCCGGGAGCAUCUUGUAGUGCCAGAAAGGAGCUGUGUUGGGUCCUUGGAACCUUGACCUCCACCCCCACUGGCCUUGCCUGUGACCUCAGCAUCUCUGUGAUUGACACUAAGCAAGCAACGGUCCUCCGUGGAGACCGAAAUGUGAGUGGACAUCCUGUACUUUCCCACCAAGCCUCCUUCCUCACCCCACCACCCCCACUCCUGCUCAUUCCCGCUCCCUAGCAGGGAGCCCCAGGGACACGGCGGGGGUAGGCUGCUCUGGACCCAGAGCACAGCUGCAACCUGGGACCUGGCAGAACAAAGCCUGUAGCUCAGUGAGCAGAAUCCUUCUGAAUCCACCUUCUGG
rnacentral:lncRNA from 1 species